rnacentral:rRNA from 1 species
CCCUUUAGACGGGGACAACAUUCCGAAAGGAGUGCUAAUACCGGAUGUGGCCGCAUGGCGAAAGAUGGCCUUCAAGAAGCUAUCGCUAAAGGAUGGGCCUGCGUCUGAUUAGCUAGUUGGUAGUGUAACGGACUACCAAGGCGAUGAUCAGUAGCCGGUCUGAGAGGAUGAACGGCCACAUUGGGACUGAGACACGGCCCAAACUCCUACGGGAGGCAGCAGUGGGGAAUCUUCCGCAAUGGACGAAAGUCUGACGGAGCAACGCCGCGUGAGUGAUGAAGGAUUUCGGUCUGUAAAGCUCUGUUGUUUAUGACGAAGUGCAGUGUGCGAACAAUGCAUUGCAAUGACGGUAGUAAA